ACCUACCUCGGGCGGGUGGUGGGACUCGCCGGCCUCCUGCGCAGCGCCAGGCGUCCCUUCGCUUCGUGGAGCGCGCCUACCGGCGUUGGGGACGGGUUGGCAGAGAGCCUGGGCUGUGGGUCUUUGGGGAGUUUUGUGUGACCCCAAAGGAAGGGUACCUGAGGCGGCCGGGGUGGGGGGCGUCGGGGGGAGGAGGCUCCCUGGGAAGUGUCGGGCAUGGCCAGGUUCUGAGAAGGGGCAAGGGACUUUGGAGAGAGAAGGACAGAGUGCUUAUGCUGUAUUCCCGGACAGCGCGGAGCAGGUAGGUCUGAGGCCAACUUUGGAGUAGAAUUCACCAUGGUGGGGGUGCGGCGAGGGCGCUGCGGUUGGAGUGCGGGGACGUGGGGUUGUGUUUGGGACUCGGGACUCGGUGCCUGGAGGAGGAGUUGGAUUUGAGGAGGAGGCCUUGGA